AUUGAACGCUGGCGGCAGGCCUAACACAUGCAAGUCGAAUGGUAACAGGAAACAGCUUGCUGUUUCGCUGACGAGUGGCGGACGGGUGAGUAAUGUCUGGGAAACUGCCUGAUGGAGGGGGAUAACUACUGGAAACGGUAGCUAAUACCGCAUAACGUCGCAAGACCAAAGAGGGGGACCUUCGGGCCUCUUGCCAUCAGAUGUGCCCAGAUGGGAUUAGCUAGUAGGUGGGGUAACGGCUCACCUAGGCGACGAUCCCUAGCUGGUCUGAGAGGAUGACCGGCCACACUGGAACUGAGACACGGUCCAGACUCCUACGGGAGGCAGCAGUGGGGAAUAUUGCACAAUGGGCGCAAGCAUGAUGCAGCCAUGCCGCGUGUAUGAAGAAGGCCUUCGGGUUGUAAAGUACUUUCAGCGGGGAGGAAGGGAGUAAAGUUAAUACCUUUGCUAAUUGACGUUACCCGCAGAAGAAGCACCGGCUAACUCCGUG
rnacentral:rRNA from 1 species